UACAGAGGGUGCGAGCGUUAAUCGGAAUUACUGGGCGUAAAGCGCACGUAGGCGGCUUGGCAUGUCGGGUGUGAAAUCCCCGGGCUCAACCUGGGAACUGCAUCCGAAACUGCCUUGCUAGAGUAUGGGAGAGGGAAGCGGAAUUUCUGGUGUAGCAGUGAAAUGCGUAGAUAUCAGAAGGAACAUCAGUGGCGAAGGCGGCUUCCUGGACCAAUACUGACGCUCAGGUGCGAAAGCGUGGGGAGCAAAC
rnacentral:rRNA from 1 species